rnacentral:snRNA from 1 species
GGAUGUGAGGGUCAUCUGGCUUCAACAUCUGUCAUCCCACUGAUCAGGAGGAUUGGUUCUACUGAUCUGGCUGGCCAGGCCAGUGUCCUCUCCUCUCACCACUCCAUGUGUGUUCCUCCUAAUGCUGUACACUUGGUCGAAGAGGAUGACCUUCCUCACUAGCUGAGGACCAUCCUUCAGUCAAGGAUAUACAAGGGUAUAGUUGUGCUCCUCUGCUAGAACCUCCAAACAAACUCUCAAGAGAAGGCCAACGGGUAUUGAGUAGUUAGCACACUUAACCCUGCCCAAAGGCCAAUCCUAUAUU